rnacentral:rRNA from 1 species
GACGAACCGUGCGAACGUUGUUCGGAAUCACUGGGCUUAAAGGGCGCGUAGGCGGGCUGUCAAGUCUGGGGUGAAAUGCCGCGGCUCAACCGUGGAACUGCCUUAGAUACUGACGGCCUCGAGGAAGGUAGGGGCAUGCGGAACUGUAGGUGGAGCGGUGAAAUGCGUUGAUAUCGUUUGGAACGCCAAUGGUGAAAACAGCAGGCUGGGGAUGUGCUGACGCUGAGACGCGAAAGCCAGGGGAGCAAACGGG